AACAUGCUGGUUUUCUGCUAAUCUGUUUACGCAGGUUGUUUAUCGUGUGUUACUAGUAGGUAUAGCACUGAAUGUCUAAUAUAGUACUACUAUAUUGAAAGGGAGUAUAAUGUAUAAUAUAUAUCCUGGAUAUUUAAUCUCAAAAUGACUAGUAAUUAAGGUAAAUAGUCAGACUUUGUGCGAUAAGGUGGAAAGUCUAAAGGGAAACAGCCCAGAACAGUAAUUAAGGCUCUUAAAUCAUUUUUAAGUAAAAAAAAAGAAGUAGUUCUUCUUUGACAAUCACUAAGUGGGCUUGGAAACAGCCAUCAAAACNCUGGGNUUGGAAACAGCCAUCAA
rnacentral:rRNA from 1 species